rnacentral:lncRNA from 1 species
CAUGUUCCCAUAAAAAUAGCUAAAGUUGGAAAAGAAUGGGCCAGCAACAAGUUAAUGCUUAAAGCAUAUGCUUGGAAGAUACUCUUACCACAAACCAGAACCUAUUCCUCUAAUUCCCUUUAAAGCUCACAAAACCUCCCUUCACUCAUUCCUUCAUCCAUGGCCUCCAUCUAGGUGUCCAUUGCUGCUCUCCCCACCAAAGUUCCGAUGGCAACGAGGACAUGCAGCGGCGAGAUCAGCGGUGACGAUGAGGAGGACGAGGAGCAUAUAAAUCAUGGCCGUUGAAAAUUGCGGAACAUGUUUGGUCAUUGUAUUGGGCAACUAAGUACUCUUUGGCAGAACAUCUAGGAUGAGACGCUUAUUACGGCUCAACAAAUUAACCUCAGUUUAAUUAUAAGGUAGUUUUAUAGUUACACAAGCUUUAAUUUCCUUUCUUCAUGUUGUCGAAGCUUUGGAUGAAGAAACAUUAAUGUUCAAAGCUAUAUAUGUUAUGGUGAGUUUGAGAAAUUUUCUUGCUUUAUACCAUAUGCAUUUCAGUAAUGAGUUCAUGAACAGCCUGAAGCUUAAUGCA